AUAGCAAGAUCUGAUCAGAGUUUACUAUCACCAUGAAGAACAAAGUGGGUGUUUCGGCUCAAGCCUACCGAGAAUGGGACAUCGAUGGAGGCUUGGGAGAACCGGUGACGAUCGAUCAGCCGAUAUAUUUCUCCCCAGUCCCAGAUCGUCAAUGCAUGGGGAAUCCAGCCUCAAAAGGACGUCGCCGGACUGCUUAAUGUGCUGGAGCAAUACUGUAUUCUGGAAUGCAAUUUGUUGCAGUGUCUAGAUGUGUGCCUGUGCUUUUCUGGCGCACGAUUUCCAACCACUUGUCGACAAUCCUCUUCUGCGUCCUUUCCUGCGUUACUAAUGAUUAGAUAGUGUAUGGUAGUGUGUGAGCUUUCUCAGGUUAUGGUGAGUCGCUCCCACUUCCUUGUAUGCAACAUGCCAGACCUGUCAGGAGGCUUCACAAAGCCGUUUGUGAACUUUUUAUAAACGACAAGCAACGAUUCACGUUGUACAGAGAAUUCUGCUAAUGGAGUGAAUAUAAUCUUGGCUCUUGGCUGAACAAUCUUGCUUGA